GACGAACGCUGUCUGCGUGCUUAACACAUGCAAGUCGAACGGAAAGGCCCUGCUUUUGUGGGGUGCUCGAGUGGCGAACGGGUGAGUAACACGUGAGUAACCUGCCCUUGACUUUGGGAUAACUUCAGGAAACUGGGGCUAAAACCGGAUAGGAGCUCCUGCUGCAUGGUGGGGGUUGGAAAGUUUCGGCGGUUGGGGAUGGACUCGCGGCUUAUCAGCUUGUUGGUGGGGUAGUGGCUUACCAAGGCUUUGACGGGUAGCCGGCCUGAGAGGGUGACCGGCCACAUUGGGACUGAGAUACGGCCCAGACUCCUACGGGAGGCAGCAGUGGGGAAUAUUGCACAAUGGGCGGAAGCCUGAUGCAGCAACGCCGCGUGCGGGAUGACGGCCUUCGGGUUGUAAACCGCUUUCGCCUGUGACGAAGCGUGAGUGACGGUAAUGGGUAAAGAAGCACCGGCUAACUACGUGCCAGCAGCCGCGGUGAUACGUAGGGUGCGAGCGUUGUCCGGAUUUAUUGGGCAUAAAGGGCUCGUAGGUGGUUGAUCGCGUCGGAAGUGUAAUCUUGGGGCUUAACCCUGAGCGUGCUUUCGAUACGGGUUGACUUGAGGAAGGUAGGGGAGAAUGGAAUUCCUGGUGGAGCGGUGGAAUGCGCAGAUAUCAGGAGGAACACCAGUGGCGAAGGCGGUUCUCUGGGCCUUUCCUGACGCUGAGGAGCGAAAGCGUGGGGAGCGAACAGGCUUAGAUACCCUGGUAGUCCACGCUGUAAACGGUGGGUACUAGGUGUGGGGUCCAUUCCACGGGUUCCGUGCCGUAGCUAACGCUUUAAGUACCCCGCCUGGGGAGUACGGCCGCAAGGCUAAAACUCAAAGGAAUUGACGGGGCCCCGCACAAGCGGCGGAGCAUGCGGAUUAAUUCGAUGCAACGCGUAGAACCUUACCUGGGUUUGACAUGGAUCGGGAGUGCUCAGAGAUGGGUGUGCCUCUUUUGGGGUCGGUUCACAGGUGGUGCAUGGCUGUCGUCAGCUCGUGUCGUGAGAUGUUGGGUUAAGUCCCGCAACGAGCGCAACCCUUGUUCACUGUUGCCAGCACGUUAUGGUGGGGACUCAGUGGAGACCGCCGGGGUCAACUCGGAGGAAGGUGGGGAUGACGUCAAGUCAUCAUGCCCCUUAUGUCCAGGGCUUCACGCAUGCUACAAUGGCUGGUACAGAGAGUGGCGAGCCUGUGAGGGUGAGCGAAUCUCGGAAAGCCGGUCUCAGUUCGGAUUGGGGUCUGCAACUCGACCUCAUGAAGUCGGAGUCGCUAGUAAUCGCAGAUCAGCAACGCUGCGGUGAAUACGUUCCCGGG
rnacentral:rRNA from 1 species